GCCGCCUCGAUCCCUCUGCAGUCUUUCCCUUGAGGCUCCAAGACCAGCAGGCUCCAGAUGGACCCUGGGAAGGACAAAGAGGGGGUGCCCCAGCCCUCAGGGCCGCCAGCAAGGAAGAAAUUUGUGAUACCCCUCGACGAGGAUGAGGUCCCUCCUGGAGUGGCCAAGCCCUUAUUCCGAUCUACACAGAGCCUUCCCACUGUGGACACCUCGGCCCAGGCGGCCCCUCAGACCUACGCCGAAUAUGCCAUCUCACAGCCUCUGGAAGGGGCUGGGGCCACGUGCCCCACAGGGUCAGAGCCCCUGGCAGGAGAGACCCCCAACCAGGCCCUGAAACCCGGGGCAAAAUCCAACAGCAUCAUUGUGAGCCCUCGGCAGAGGGGCAAUCCCGUACUGAAGUUCGUGCGCAAUGUGCCCUGGGAAUUUGGCGACGUAAUUCCUGACUAUGUGCUGGGCCAGAGCACCUGUGCCCUGUUCCUCAGCCUCCGCUACCACAACCUGCACCCAGACUACAUCCACGGGCGGCUGCAGAGCCUGGGGAAGAACUUCGCCUUGCGGGUCCUGCUCGUCCAGGUGGAUGUGAAAGAUCCCCAGCAGGCCCUCAAGGAGCUGGCUAAGAUGUGUAUCCUGGCCGACUGCACAUUGAUCCUCGCCUGGAGCCCCGAGGAAGCUGGGCGGUACCUGGAGACCUACAAGGCCUAUGAGCAGAAACCAGCGGACCUCCUGAUGGAGAAGCUAGAGCAGGACUUCGUCUCCCGGGUGAGGCCACCUCACCUCCCAUCCCUGCCUGGGCCUCCCCGCAGCUCCUGGGUGGUUGAGCUUCAGUUCCAAUCUUAAGGCACUGUCCAUUCAUCCCUGGGCCUCGUCUUUCCUGGCCCAUCC
rnacentral:sRNA from 1 species